GAUGAACGCUGGCGGCGUGCCUAAUACAUGCAAGUCGAACGCUGGAAAUCUAGCUUGCUAGAUUGAAGGAGUGGCGAACGGGUGAGUAAUACAUAAGCAACCUACCCACGAAGACUGGGAUAAUCUCUGGAAACGGGGACUAAUACCGGAUAGGUAAUCGGAAGGCAUCUUCUGAUUAUUAAAGGUUAAAAACACUGGUGGAUGGGCUUAUGGCGCAUUAGUUAGUUGGUGAGGUAACGGCCCACCAAGACGAUGAUGCGUAGCCGGCCUGAGAGGGUGAACGGCCACAUUGGGACUGAGACACGGCCCAGACUCCUACGGGAGGCAGCAGUAGGGAAUUUUCGGCAAUGGGGGAAACCCUGACCGAGCAACACCGCGUGAGUGAUGACGGCCUUCGGGUUGUAAAGCUCUGUUGUAAGGGAAGAACGGUAGAUAGAGAAUAUCUAAAUGACGGUACCUUACCAGAAAGCCACGGCUAACUACGUG
rnacentral:rRNA from 1 species